rnacentral:rRNA from 1 species
GCUAAACGCGAAGAACCUUACCAGGUCUUGACAUCCCAAUGUAACACCUAGAGAUAGGUGCCCUCUUCGGAGCAUUGGAGACAGGUGGUGCAUGGUUGUCGUCAGCUCGUGUCGUGAGAUGUUGGGUUAAGUCCCGCAACGAGCGCAACCCUUAAUUUAGUUGCCAGCAUUCAGUUGGGCACUCUAAAGUGACUGCCGGUGACAAGCCGGAGGAAGGCGGGGAUGACGUCAAGUCAUCAUGGCCCUUACGUGUAGGGCUACAAACGUGCUACAAUGGCAGUGACAAUGGGCAGCCACUUCGCAAGGAGGCGCUAAUCCCAAAAAGCUGUCUCAGUUCAGAUUGUCCUCUGCAACUCGAGGGCAUGAAGUUGGAAUCGCUAGUAAUCGGCCAUCAGCAUGGGCCGGUGAAUACGUUCCCGGGUCUUGUACACACCG